AAAAUCUGCUGAUUUUAGCAUGUUUCUUACAUUGUCAGAUUUCUAACAGCAAAUAAAUUUGUCCAUAGGGUUUUCCCUAGACUAGAAGAGAAUUAGCUUUGAAAAAAGGAGAAAAAGGUGAAUGUCCAAUUAGGACAAGCACAUCUGACUUUUCUGGAUCAGGAAGCACCGGCCCGUUAUCCUUCCACUGCAAGAAACGAGAGGUCAUCGCUGCUCUGUGAAGCCAGCCUGACGCGGUCUCCUCUGCUUUAGGAACCAAGCAGCUUGAACCUUCGCUUGAACCACAUGGUGCAAUUCCUUGCUUGGAAUGGGUAGACCAGUUUGAUGCAAACCUAAAUCCAGUCAGUGGGCUUGAACAGUGUCCAGACACCUUGAUGCCCCCACUUGGGUUACAAGCUCACAUUACGAAGCUCGGC
rnacentral:lncRNA from 1 species